rnacentral:sRNA from 1 species
AGCCAAGGGAGCGAGCUCCGGGGGAGAAAC